rnacentral:tRNA from 1 species
GCGGACGUGGCGAAACUGGUAGACGCAAGAGACUUAAAAUCUCUCAGCCGCGAGGCUAUGCGGGUUCGAUCCCCGCCGUCCGCACCA